rnacentral:rRNA from 1 species
GGACUACUGGGGUUUCUAAUCCCGUUCGCUCCCCUAGCUUUCGCACCUCAGCGUCAGAUACGAGCCAGGACCUUGCCUGCGCCAGUGGUGUUCCUCCGGAUCUCUACGCAUUUCACCGCUCCACCCGGAAUUCCAGGUCCCUCUCUCGCUCUCCAGUCGUGCCGUCUUUGCGAUGCUUGGGUGGUUAAGCCACCCACUGUCCCCGCAAACUGACACAACCGCCUGCGUGCCCUUUACGCCCAGUAACUCCGGACAACGCUUGCCCCCUACGUAUUACCGCGGCUGCUGGCAC